UACGUAGGCAGCAAGCGUUGUUCGGAGUUACUGGGCGUAAAGGGUGUGUAGGUGGCGCGCUAAGUCGGGUGUGAAAUUUCGGAGCUUAACUCCGAAACUGCAUUCGAUACUGGCGUGCUUGAGGACUGGAGAGGAGACUGGAAUUCAUGGUGUAGCAGUGAAAUGCGUAGAGAUCAUGAGGAAGACCAGUGGCGAAGGCGGGUCUCUGGACAGUUCCUGACACUGAGACACGAAGGCCAGGGGAGCAAACGGG
rnacentral:rRNA from 1 species